ensembl:snoRNA SNORA73 Small nucleolar RNA SNORA73 family
CCAACGUGGGUACACCCGGGAGGUCACUCUCCCCGGGCUCUGUCCAAGUGGCGUAGGGGAGCAUAGGGCUCUGCCCCAUGAUGUACAGUCCCUUUCCACAACGUUGGAGAUGAAGCUGGGCCUCGAGUCUGCGCCUGCAUAUUCCUACAGCUUCCCAGAGUCCUGUGGACAAUGACUGGGGAGACAAACCAUGCAGGAAACAGCC